AGCUCCAAUAGCGUAUACUAAAGUUGUUGCAGUUAAAAAGCUCGUAGUUGGAUUUCUGCGCGGGCGGGGCGUCCGCCGUCCUAAGGGCGGGUUGGGCAGCAACGCCCGCGCAUCCUGCCACGAUCCACGCUACCAUUCAUUUGGUGGCGUUUGGGGACUGGCUCGUUUACUUUGAGAAAAAUAGAGUGUUCAAAGCAGGCAACUCGCCUUGAAUAAUGUAGCAUGGAAUAAUGAUAAAGGACUUUGGUUCUAUUUUGUUGGUGUUCGGGACCGAAGU
rnacentral:rRNA from 1 species